rnacentral:rRNA from 1 species
UACAGAGGGUGCGAGCGUUGUCCGGAAUCACUGGGCGUAAAGGGCGCGUAGGUGGUGGCUUAAGCGUGCGGUGAAAGCUCGGGGCUCAACUCCGAGUCGGCCGUGCGAACUGGGCUCACUGGAGCAUAGUAGAGGCAGGUGGAAUUCCGGGUGUAGCGGUGGAAUGCGUAGAGAUCCGGAAGAACACCGGUGGCGAAGGCGGCCUGCUGGGCUAUGGCUGACACUGAGGCGCGACAGCGUGGGGAGCAAACGGG